UACGUAGGGUGCGAGCGUUAAUCGGAAUUACUGGGCGUAAAGCGUGCGCAGGCGGUUCGUUGUGUCGGUGGUGAAAUCCCCGGGCUCAACCUGGGAACUGCAUCUGUGACUGCAUCGCUGGAGUACGGUAGAGGGGGAUGGAAUUCCGCGUGUAGCAGUGAAAUGCGUAGAUAUGCGGAGGAACACCGAUGGCGAAGGCAAUCCCCUGGACCUGUACUGACGCUCAUGCACGAAAGCGUGGGGAGCAAACAGG
rnacentral:rRNA from 1 species